AUUGAACGCUGGCGGCAGGCCUAACACAUGCAAGUCGAGCGAGCCGCGGGCGUGAGAGUAAUAUCUGUGAAAGUCCCUGAUGGAGGGGGAUCACUAAUGGACACUGGAGCUAAUCCCGCAUACCAUCAGAUAUGCCCCUAUGGGAUUAGCUUGUAGGUGGGGUAAUGGCUCACCUCGGCGACUAUCUCUAGCUGGUCUGAGAGGAUGACCAGCCACACGGGAACUUAGACACGGUCCAGACUCCUACGGGAGGCAGCAGUGGGGAAUAUUGCACAAUGGGCGCAAGCCUGAUGCAGCCAUGCCGCGUGUGUGAAGAAGGCCUUCGGGUUGUAAAGCACUUUCAGCGAGGAGGCGUUACUCGCAGAAGAAGCACCGGCUAACUCCGUGCCAGCAGCCGCGGUAAUAC
rnacentral:rRNA from 1 species